UUUUGGACAAUGGGGGCAACCCUGAUCCAGCCAUUCCGCGUGAGUGAAGAAGGCCUUCGGGUUGUAAAGCUCUUUCGCAAGGGAAGAAACGUUACCGGUGAAUAUCCGGUGAUAAUGACGGUACCUUGAUAAGAGGCACCGGCUAACUACGUGCCAGCAGCCGCGGUAAUACGUAGGGUGCGAGCGUUAAUCGGAAUUACUGGGCGUAAAGCGUGCGCAGGCUGUUUUGUAAGUCAGAUGUGAAAUCCCCGAGCUCAACUUGGGAACUGCGUUUGAAACUACAAGACUAGAAUAGGUCAGAGGGGGGUAGAAUUCCACGUGUAGCAGUGAAAUGCGUAGAGAUGUGGAGGAAUAUCAAUGGCGAAGGCAGCCCCCGGGAUCAUAUUACGCUCAGCAGAGA
rnacentral:rRNA from 1 species